CGCGGCCUAUCAGCUUGUUGGUGGGGUAACGGCCUACCAAGGCUACGACGCGUAGCGGGUCUGAGAGGACGAUCCGUCACAUUGGGACUGAGAUACGGCCCAGACUCCUACGGGAGGCAGCAGUGGGGAAUAUUGCGCAAUGGUCGGAAGACUGACGCAGCGACGCCGCGUGUGGGAGGAAGCCUUUCGGGGUGUAAACCACUGUCAGGCGGGAAGAACCGCGCGUGUCCAAAUACGACACGCGCCUGACGGUACCGCCAGAGGAAGCGCCGGCUAACUCCGUGCCAGCAGCCGCGGUAAGACGGAGGGCGCAAGCGUUGUUCGGAAUUACUGGGCGUAAAGCGCGGGCAGGUGGUUUGUCUAGUCUUUUGUGAAACUCCGGAGCUCAACUCCGGACAUGCAGGAGAUACUGGCGAACUAGAGACCGGUAGAGGCUAGUGGAAUUCCUGGUGUAGCGGUGGAAUGUGUAGAUAUCAGGAAGAACACCAGUGGCGAAGGCGGCUAGCUGGGCCGUGUCUGACACUCAUCCGCGAAAGCGUGGGGAGCAGACAGGAUUAGAUACCCUGGUAGUCCACGCCGUAAACGAUGGGCACUAGGUGCCGGUCCCCGUAGACGGGUUCGGUGCCGGAGCUAACGCAUUAAGUGCCCCGCCUGGGGA
rnacentral:rRNA from 1 species